rnacentral:rRNA from 1 species
GGGUGACUGCGUACCUUUUGUAUAAUGGGUCAGCGACUUACAUUCAGUGGCAAGCUUAACCGAAUAGGGAAGGCGUAGCGAAAGCGAGUCCGAAUAGGGCGUUCAGUCGCUGGGUGUAGACCCGAAACCAAGUGAUCUAUCCAUGGCCAGGUUGAAGGUGCGGUAACACGUACUGGAGGACCGAACCCACUAAUGUUGAAAAAUUAGGGGAUGAGCUGUGGAUAGGGGUGAAAGGCUAAACAAACUUGGAAAUAGCUGGUUCUCUCCGAAAACUAUUUAGGUAGUGCCUCGUGUAUCACCUUCGGGGGUAGAGCACUGUCAUGGUUGAAGGGUCCAUUGCGGAUUACUUCGCCAUAGCAAACUCCGAAUACCGAAGAGUGCAAUCACGGGAGACAGACAUCGGGUGCUAACGUCCGGUGUCAAGAGGGAAACAACCCAGACCGCCAGCUAAGGUCCCUAAAUAUUGCUAAGUGGGAAACGAAGUGGGAAGGCUAAAACAGUCAGGAGGUUGGCUUAGAAGCAGCCACCCUUUAAAGAAAGCGUAAUAGCUCACUGAUCGAGUCGUCCUGCGCGGAAGAUGUAACGGGGCUAAGCAAUAUACCGAAGCUGCGGAUGCGAGCUUGCUCGCAUGGUAGGAGAGCGUUCUGUAAGCCUGUGAAGGUGUCUUGUGAAGGAUGCUGGAGGUAUCAGAAGUGCGAAUGCUGACAUGAGUAGCGAUAAAGGGGGUGAAAGGCCCCCUCGCCGUAAGCCCAAGGUUUCCUACGCAACGUUCAUCGGCGUAGGGUGAGUCGGCCCCUAAGGCGAGGCAGAGAUGCGUAGCUGAUGGGAAGCAGGUUAAUAUUCCUGCACCGUCGUAUGAUGCGAUGGGGGGACGGAUCGCGGAAGGUUGUCCGGGUGUUGGAAGUCCCGGUCCCUGCAGUGGAGAAGGCGCUUAGGCAAAUCCGGGCGCGUAAUUCAAGGCUGUGGGGCGAGUACCUUCGGGUACGAAGCAAUUGGAAGUGGUUCCAAGAAAAGCCUCUAAGCUUCAGUCAUACGAGACCGUACCGCAAACCGACACAGGUGGGCGAGAUGAGUAUUCUAAGGCGCUUGAGAGAACUCGGGAGAAGGAACUCGGCAAAUUGGUACCGUAACUUCGGGAUAAGGUACGCCCUUGUAGCUUGACUGGCCUGCGCCAGGAGGGUGAAAGGGUUGCAAUAAACUGGUGGCUGCGACUGUUUAAUAAAAACACAGCACUCUGCAAACACGAAAGUGGACGUAUAGGGUGUGACGCCUGCCCGGUGCCGGAAGAUUAAAUGAUGGGGUGCAAGCUCUUGAUUGAAGUCCCGGUAAACGGCGGCCGUAACUAUAACGGUCCUAAGGUAGCGAAAUUCCUUGUCGGGUAAGUUCCGACCUGCACGAAUGGCGUAACGAUGGCCACACUGUCUCCUCCCGAGACUCAGCGAAGUUGAAGUGUUUGUGAUGAUGCAAUCUACCCGCGGCUAGACGGAAAGACCCCAUGAACCUUUACUGUAGCUUUGCAUUGGACUUUGAACCGGUCUGUGUAGGAUAGGUGGGAGGCUUUGAAGCAGGAACGCUAGUUUCUGUGGAGCCGUCCUUGAAAUACCACCCUGGUUUGUUUGAGGUUCUAACCUAGGUCCGUAAUCCGGAUCGGGGACAGUGCAUGGUAGGCAGUUUGACUGGGGCGGUCUCCUCCCAAAGUGUAACGGAGGAGUACGAAGGUACGCUAGGUACGGUCGGAAAUCGUGCUGAUAGUGCAAUGGCAAAAGCGUGCUUAACUGCGAGACUGACAAGUCGAGCAGGUGCGAAAGCAGGUCAUAGUGAUCCGGUGGUUCUGUAUGGAAGGGCCAUCGCUCAACGGAUAAAAGGUACUCUGGGGAUAACAGGCUGAUACCGCCCAAGAGUUCAUAUCGACGGCGGUGUUUGGCACCUCGAUGUCGGCUCAUCUCAUCCUGGGGCUGUAGCCGGUCCCAAGGGUAUGGCUGUUCGCCAUUUAAAGAGGUACGUGAGCUGGGUUUAAAACGUCGUGAGACAGUUUGGUCCCUAUCUGCCGUGGGCGUUGGAAGUUUGAAGGGGGCUGCUCCUAGUACGAGAGGACCGGAGUGGACGAACCUCUGGUGUACCGGUUGUCACGCCAGUGGCAUCGCCGGGUAGCUAUGUUCGGAAGAGAUAACCGCUGAAAGCAUCUAAGCGGGAAACUCGCCUUGAGAUGAGACUUCCCUGGGAACUCGAUUCCCCUUAAGGGUCGUUCAAGACCAGGACGUUGAUAGGUCAGGUGUGGAAGCGCAGUAAUGCGUUAAGCUAACUGAUACUAAUUGCCCGUGAGGCUUGAUCC